GCGGAUCUAGGGGGAGGGUUUAGGGGGUUUAACCCCCCCCUUGGGCUGCCAAAAAACCGUAAUAAAUGGGAUGGUUUUGAGUUCAUAGCUUCCAAGAAAAAACUGGACAAAGCCACAAUGGCCGAAAGUUCACUUUCGGUUCUUAACAGACGUGCUAUUUGUAGACAAAACUUUAAAGCAGCUAGAUUACUGUGGUAUGUCAUUAAUCCAUAAGUCAGACUUGUAUUUGUAGCCAACUCCAACAAUAAACAUCCCGUGGGGAUACUGCAAA